rnacentral:misc_RNA from 1 species
GUAGGUGAACCUGCGGAAGGAUCAUUACUAAAUUCCUUCUUUGAAAGGAAUCAAACGCCUCUUCCUUCCCUCGAAGUAAUUUUUGGGGGAUUGGGAGAGCGCAACCCUUCGUGAACUGUUUGAACAGACUUCCCUGGACCAUCAGUCCUCCUCUUAUUCCCCAUCAGUGGUGGGGAAAUCUGGAGGAAGGAUGCCAGGGGCCUUUAUUUAUGAUACCCAUUUAUGUUUUGCUUUAGUGCGUUGUCUUGUU